GUAUGUGAGGGUGAUCUAGCUGCCAUCCCACUGAUUGCCAGGGUUGACCCAGCUGAUCCCGCUGCCUAGACAGGUAUCUCCUUCCUCCCUCACUGCUGUUUCCUCCCUCCAGAAAGCUGUGCUGGGUCCAAGGCAGCCACUUCCCUGAUAGAGGAGGACCAGUCUUCAGUCAAGGGUAUACCAGUGUCUGUGCUUCCCUGGAACCUCUGAACAGGCUCUCAAAAACCAACCAGCACCACAAAUCAAAGAGUCACAGACAAUGACUAACAGUACUUUUGUAAUGGAAUAAUAUGCCUCACUCUACCUAC
rnacentral:snRNA from 1 species